GCGGGUGUGGUGGAAUUGGUAGACACGCUGGUUUUAGGUACCAGUGCUGAAAAGCAUGGGGGUUCAAGUCCCUCCACCCGCA
rnacentral:tRNA from 1 species